rnacentral:rRNA from 1 species
UACGUAGGGUCCGAGCGUUGUCCGGAAUUAUUGGGCGUAAAGGGUCCGUAGGCGGUUUAGUAAGUCAGUGGUGGAAGCCCAUCGCUCAACGGUGGAACGGCCAUUGAUACUGCUGAACUUGAAUUAUUAGGAAGUAACUAGAAUAUGUAGUGUAGCGGUGAAAUGCUUAGAUAUUACAUGGAAUACCAAUUGCGAAGGCAGGUUACUACUAAUGGAUUGACGCUGAUGGACGAAAGCGUGGGGAGCGAACAGG